rnacentral:rRNA from 1 species
GUGGGGAAUAUUGCGCAAUGGGCGAAAGCCUGACGCAGCGACGCCGCGUGGGUGAUGAAGGCCUUCGGGUCGUAAAGCCCUGUCGGGAGGGACGAAACCUCGGCGACCGAAUACGUCGUCGACCUGACGGUACCUCCAAAGGAAGCACCGGCUAACUCCGUGCCAGCAGCCGCGGUAAUACGGAGGGUGCAAGCGUUGUUCGGAAUCACUGGGCGUAAAGCGCGUGUAGGCGGCCUUCUAAGUCUGAUGUGAAAGCCCGGGGCUCACCCCCGGAAGUGCAUUGGAGACUGGAAGGCUCGAGUACCGGAGAGGAGGGUGGAAUUCCUGGUGUAGCGGUGAAAUGCGUAGAUAUCAGGAGGAACACCGGUGGCGAAGGCGGCCCUCUGGACGGAUACUGACGCUGAGACGCGAAAGCGUGGGGAGCAAACAGGAUUAGAAACCCCAGUAGUCC